GGACAAUGGAGUAUCACUCAAUCUUCGCCUUUGCGCUCUUAAGAUCCCUACAGAUUAUUCAAGAGGCAACAUCUUAAGAGGAGUUAUUGUAAAGAAUUAUGUUUCUGCAAAUCUGACUGAGGCCACUUGCCAGCAAAAGUGUAACAUCAUUUCCUCCCUGGACAAUUGCUCUCUGUGUGCCGGCUAUCUGUUCAACUACACUUGCCUAGAUCGAGAUGAGUGUCUACAUCAGACCCACAAUUGCAGCUCCAAUGCUGCCUGUACAAACACUGUUGGGUCCUACAACUGCACAUGUGACUCUGGGUUUUCAGGUGACGGCAAAUUCU